rnacentral:siRNA from 1 species
AUGGUUUGAAAAUUUGUCCAAGAC